rnacentral:rRNA from 1 species
CGUGUAGGUGGAUCGUUAAGUCGGGGGUGAAAUCCCGGGGCUCAACCCCGGAACUGCCUUCGAUACUGGCGAUCUUGAGGGUGAGAGAGGCGAGUGGAAUUUCGAGUGUAGCAGUGAAAUGCGUAGAUAUUCGAAGGAACACCAGUGGCGAAGGCGACUCGCUGGCUCACUACUGACACUGAGAUGCGAAAGCGUGGGGAACAAACA